rnacentral:rRNA from 1 species
GACGAACGCUGGCGGCGUGCCUAAUACAUGCAAGUCGAACGGUCGUUAUGCGGCGGAAUCAUUCGUGAUGAAGUUGCAUAAUGAUAGUGGCGAACGGGUGAGUAACGCGUGAGCAACCUGCCCUAAAGACCGGGAUAACACCGUGAAAGCGGUGCUAAUACCGGAUGUGGCUAGUGAUUCGCAUGAAUUAUUAGCUAAAAGGGAAAAACCGCUUUAGGAUGGGCUCGCGUUCCAUUAGCUAGUUGGUGAGGUAACGGCUCACCAAGGCGACGAUGGAUAGCCGGCCUGAGAGGGUGUACGGCCACAUUGGGACUGAGACACGGCCCAGACUCCUACGGGAGGCAGCAGUAGGGAAUUUUGCGCAAUGGGGGGAACCCUGACGCAGCGACGCCGCGUGGGUGAAGAAGGCCUUCGGGUCGUAAAGCCUUGUCAAGAGGGACGAAAAGAUGACGGUACCUCUAGAGGAAGCCCCGGCUAACUACGUG